rnacentral:tRNA from 1 species
ACCCAAAUAGUUUAUAAAAAUAUUAAUUUGUGGAAUUAAAGAAGUAAAUUAUUACUUUGGGUA